rnacentral:rRNA from 1 species
CAGCCGCCACGGUAAUACGGAGGGGGCUAGCGUUGUUCGGAAUUACUGGGCGUAAAGCGUACGUAGGCGGUUUUGUAAGUUAGAGGUGAAAGCCCGGAGCUCAACUCCGGAAUUGCCUUUAAGACUGCAUCACUUGAACGUCGGAGAGGUGAGUGGAAUUCCGAGUGUAGAGGUGAAAUUCGUAGAUAUUCGGAAGAACACCAGUGGCGAAGGCGGCUCACUGGACGACUGUUGACGCUGAGGUACGAAAGCGUGGGGAGCAAACAGGAUUAGAUACCCCAGUAGUCCCUGUCUCUUAUAC